AACACAUAUAUCAAGUGUUGUUGUUUUUUUACAAUAUCUUAUUUGCAACACUACAACGACAUUUAUAUUUUGACGACGUAGUUUCAGUGAAUGUGCAUCCAAUGUAAAAUGAGGCAGGCAGACUUACAGACACCUAUGAAGGGCCUUUUGUAAUAACAACAUGGCAGCAUUCUCUAGAGGCAGACGCCGGUGGAAACGUACCAACUGCAUUCAUUUUUUUUUCAAUGAGAAACUUGACAGACAUGGAGUUUGUUGCCAUAUUGCUAGCUAGUGACAAACGGACAGAUUAUGAGAAAUGGAUUUCGAAUUAAUCUCUCAAACAGCGUUUUCUUUUUCUAUAGUGGUAACCAAUGCCCUGCAAGCUAGCUGUCAGUUUGCCCAGUACCUCGGAAUAGUUGAGGUACUUGGCAAGCUGUCAGUGUCAAAUAUUCCAAAUAAUGAGUGUCUUUGGUAGAAUAACAUGCUCUUUUCAAAUGCCCUUCAUUAUGCACUUGUCAGCUUGGUUUCUAGAUAAGUAACCUCGUGUACAUUCUAAGUAACUCAUGUGUUUAUGGUGUCAGCAUUGACCAAUAGAGAUCGAAUGUCAAGGCAUUUGGUUUGUUACUGGAGGUGGGUCUUGCUUGUUCCAAAGAAGGUGGUGUCUCAAUCCCAUGAUUAAAUCAUUAGUAUUACAAGACGACGUUAUUAACUAGUAGGGACUUCACUGUUUGUUCUUGAGGAUAGUAUACAAUCAUAUGCACCCCAGAUGGUUUGUUACCAGGAGGUCUGGCUCUGUGUAAAGGUUUUAUAUAGGAUCAUGUCUAAUCUAAUGUGUUAAUGCAGUUUUACUGACCAAAACAUUCUGUCCUUUGUUUUCAUCGGCUCAGGUAGGACAGAACAUUGCUGUGUUAGAUUAUGUGGAGCCUUCAGUUAAAGGUACUAAGUGGGGCAUUGGGGGCAUGUGUGUGACUGUGGGCUGCAUUCCCAAGAAGCUCAUGCACCAGGCUGUUUUGCUGGGCACAGCUGUGAAAGACGCCCAGAAGUAUGGCUGGCAAAUCCCCAGGCCCAUCUCCCACGACUGGUACAUCUCAAUAAUUGGGGAAAAGAUCAGAAUUGGGCGACCUGUGAAAACACAUGCGGAAUGUGAAGUAUCUGAACAUUAAAGGAAGUCUGGUGGAUGAGCACACAGUCAAAGGGUUAACCAGGACAGGAAAAGAGGACAUUGUGAUUGCAACUGGAGGGCGGCAAAGUACCCCACACAUAUCCACGGAGCAAAUCCAGCACGGCAUCACUAGUGAUGUUAUCUUCUGGCUGAAAGAGUCCCCUGCCAAGACGUGAAUGGUGCAUGUGGUGAAACACAGAUACACAAACCAUACAAUGCUGUGCCAUGUACACAGACAACUCUGUCAUAAUGAUCCAUCCAGGACACAGCGUGUUCUACUAUAGGACGUUUUAAAUGUUCCUGUCACUCACUCCUCCUGACUCAGAUUAGCUGUGCGUGUGUGUGUUCAGCAAAGGUCGGGACACACACACAUCUCCAAUCAAGCCAUUUAAAUCCUGUCAUCGCCUGUCUAAUUGGUCUCUCUACACCAUUUCCACUUGGCACAAAAUGGAGGUUGAGUGUAAUGUUUGUUAGUGUCGCUGUAAUUUAACCGUACAUGGUGCCAACAGUGAAGAGUUAUCUUAGUCACCUACUCAUUGAUAAUCCUUGCUAUUAUAAAUAUAAUCUACAAUAGAUUUCUGUCAUAUUUUUUCUAUCGCAACAACCUAUUUGUUACCCCUCUCCAGUUUAGUCAGGGAAAUUGUAUUUUUCUUGUCAAACUAGGCUGCUGUUCUAACAUUCUACCACUAGAGGGCAAUAUGAACUCAUCUUAACAACAAGCCAGACGGUGGUGGUCUCUGUAUGUAUGUUUUCCCUGCACUGUCCUUCCCUCUUUCAGCAUGUCUCCUAAGCAAUUUUCACAAAUAUUUGCUCACAGCUUUUUAUGUAGCUUUCAAGAGCGCUUCAAUUCAGGAAACCCUUUAUGUGAGUGGGACUGUUUGGUGUAGUGGAGUGGUUAGGCAGGGGCCUACUGUUUGUGUAGUCCUCUCUGCCCCUCAGGCUACUAGGGGUUAGCAUUAGCAGGUCCUCCCGUGGCUCUCCUCAGACCUAUCUCUCCCUGCCUAGGAGGAGCUGUUGUAGAGGAGCUGCUUUGCUCUGUGGAGGGAGCUGAGCUGUCAGCUCAGCAGGUGGGGUCUGAGAGGGUGUUUGGGUUGAUUAGCUUAUUAGGUGGAGGUAGUGGAUGGCUCCAGGUGAGUGGUGCCUUUAGAAGGACUGGAGUACACAGCCACACUCACAAACACGAUAGAUGGGAAGUGUAGACAUGAGUGUAAGAGGUUUUAUGCUGACUUUUAUUGCAGUAUAUAAUGCACUGCAUUUCCUUAACUUUUUAAUUCUAUAUUUAUUUAAAUAAAUUCCAGUGCUAAAGGGUAGUGAACCAGGCUUGAAAUGUGCUAUACUUUCUCAUUCUCUAGAUAAGUGCUUCUCAAACUUGUUAUAGUCCCGUACCCCUUCAAACAUUCAACCUCCAGCUGCGUACCCCUCACACUAUACGAUACAUUUAUUAAACAUAAGAAUGAGUGAGUUUCUGUUACAACCCGGCUUGUGGGAAGUGACAAAGAGCUCUUAUAGGACCAGGGCACAAAAUAAUAAUAAUCAAUCAUUUUGUUCUUUAUUUAGCCAUCUUGCAUAUCACUUUAUUUGUUAAUCGUAAAUUCUGACCACAGGUUAAUGAGAAGGGUGGUCUUGAAAGGAUGCAUAUAACUGCAAUGUUGGGUUGUAUUGGAGAGAGUCUCAGUCGUAAAUCGUUUUCCACACACAGUAUGUGCCUGUGUUUAGUCUUCAUGCUAGUGAGGGCCGAGAAUCCACUCUCACAUAGGUACGUGGUUGCAAAGGGCAUCAGUGCGAUUUGCUAAGGCAGGAUACUCUGAGUAUCCCAAUCCAGAAAUCUGGCAGUGGCUUCUGAUUUAAAUACAAUUUUCACAGAACCGCUUGUUGCAAUUUGAUGACACACUUUUUCAGAUAUAGGUAAAUGGACUGGAUGCAUGGCAUGAAAGGAUAACGAAUGCAGUUGUUUGUGUCAUCCGUUUCGGGAAAGAAAUUGCGCACCCAGCUCACUCAGGUGCUUCGCUGUAUCACAUUUGAUGUUGUCCAUAACCUUGAGUUCAUUUGCACACAAAUGAAUGGAAAGACCUGUGUGUUGUCCUUGUUAAUGCAGACAGAGAAGAGCUCCAACUUCUUAAUCAUAGUCUCAAUUUUGUCCCGCACAUUGAAAAUAUUUGCAGAGUCCCUGUAAUCCUAGGUUCAGAUCAUUCAGGUGAGAAAAAACAUCACCCAGAUAGGCCAGUAUUGUGAGAAACUCGUCAUCAUGCAAGCAGUCAGACAAGAGAAAAUGAUGGUCAGUAAAGGAAUCUUUAAGCUUGUCUCUCAAUAAAAAAAAAGCAUGUCAAUACUGUCACGCCUUGGUCUUAGUAUUUUGUGUUUUCUUUCUUUAUUUGGUCAGGCCAGGGUGUGACAUGGGUUUAUUUUGGUGUGUUUUUGUAUUGGGGUUUAGUAGGUAUUGGGAUUGUGGUUGAGUAGGGUUGUCUAGCAUAGUCUAUGGCUGCCUGAGGCGGUUCUCAAUCAGAGUCAGGUGAUUCUCGUUGUCUCUGAUCGGGAACCAUAUUUAGGUAGCCUGGGUUUCCCUGUGUGUUUGUGGGUGAUUGUUCCUGUCUCUGUGUUGUCACAAGAUAGGCUGUAUAGGUUUUCUCGUUCCGUUUGUUGUUUUUGUAUAUUUAGUUAUUUCAUGUAUCGUUCAUUUUUUCAUUAAAGAACAUGAGUAACCACCA